rnacentral:rRNA from 1 species
CCUACGGGAGGCAGCAGUGAGGAAUAUUGGUCAAUGGACGAGAGUCUGAACCAGCCAAGUAGCGUGAAGGAUGACUGCCCUAUGGGUUGUAAACUUCUUUUAUAUGGGAAUAAAAUGUUCCACGUGUGGGAUUUUGUAUGUACCAUAUGAAUAAGGAUCGGCUAACUCCGUGCCAGCAGCCGCGGUAAUACGGAGGAUCCGAGCGUUAUCCGGAUUUAUUGGGUUUAACGGGAGCGUAGGUGGAUUGUUAAGUCAGUUGUGAAAGUUUGCGGCGCAACCGUAAAAUUGCAGUUGAAACUGGCAGUCUUGAGUACAGUAGAGGUGGGCGGAAUGCGUGGUGUAGCGGUGAAAUGCUUAGAUAUCACGAAGAACUCCGAUUGCGAAGGCAGUUCACUGGACUGCAACUGACACUGAGGCUCGAAAGUGUGGGUAUCAAACAGGAUUAGAUACCCCGGUAGUC